AUUGAACGCUGGCGGCAGGCUUAACACAUGCAAGUCGAGCGAGCGGCGGACGGGUGAGUAAUGUCUGGGAACCUGCCUGAUGGAGGGGGAUAACUACUGGAAACGGUCGCUAAUACCGCAUACCAUCAGCUGUGCCCAGAUGGGAUUAGCUUGUAGGUGGGGUAAUGGCUCACCUAGGCGACGAUCCCUAGCUGGUCUGAGAGGAUGACCAGCCACACGGGAACUGAGACACGUGCCAGACUCCUACGGGAGGCAGCAGUGGGGAAGAUGGAACAAUGGGCGCAAGCCUGAUGCAGCAAUGACGCGUGUGUGAAGAAGGCCUUCGGGUUGUAAAGCACUUUCAGCGAGGAGGCGGGACUCGCAGAAGAAGAACCGGCUAACUCCGUGCCAGCAGCCGCGGUAAUAC
rnacentral:rRNA from 1 species